UUGAUUUUCUGUAGUGGAGACAAGCAAACUAAAGAUCAACUUCACCAACCAAACCAAAGGAGUAGUUGUUUUUGUAUACAAAAGCUUUUUGAAUUUCAAAUAAGGGUGGCACCACACGAACCUCAUAAAUACACAAAAUUGAAAGCUCAAGAUCUCUUCUCUGCCUCUCAUUCACUUUUUUCCCCUAUUUUUUUUUUUUCCCUAAAAGCUUCAAAUUUAAUAUACCCACCUCCUUUUUCUUCUAGGGUUGGUGGAAAAUUCAAUGCCAGCAUUUUCAACAACAUCUUCAAUCCCAUCUCUCUCUCUCUCUCUCUCUCUCUCUCUCUCUCUCUCUCUUCAUAUUCAAAAAUCAUGCAUCCUAUAGGACCUAGUGACUAUGCAGUACUAUCAAUACAGAAUUCCUACUUUCCACCUUCUUCUCCUCUCUUGUUUUUUCCUUCUGGCAUUCUUGAGACACUAUCUUUGUUAUUUGUUUUCUAGUCACUUGAAGCUUAUAUAUCUAGCUAGCCACUUUGAGGAUGCGAAAGGAUGAUGAAGCAGAAUGUAGAGAUUAAUGGGGUGGAGUUAAGAGCAUGAGUCAGAGUAAUACAAAAGAACAUGAGAUAUUGGUACGGUUCAAUCAGAAACCAGCUGCUUUAAUUCUAGAGCUCUGUGUUUUUUAUUGAGCCGUGCCAAUAUCACAUGUAGAUGCUUUUAAGUGUAUUGCUAGCAGCUACUGCUAUACAUAUAUAAAAAUUCUUCCUCUCCUCUCCUUACCAGUGACCACACUCAUAAGCUAAGCUCAUUUUCUCUGCCAAAUCUCUACUUUUCUUCACUUUUUAAAUCUUUAUCCUUAAUAUUUUUAUAUUUUUCUUUUUUAAAAUGUUAGUUUUCAUGGAUGAAAUUCCAAUUAGGAUUAGUCAUUUGUGUGUGUGUGUAUUUUUUUUCUUUUUUUGGGGGUGAAUAUGGUUACUUUUGCGCUUAGUAUUAUUAUUAGUACUACUGCAGAGCUGGUGCAUAGAAUUAUGCAUUUAUAUAUUUUAUUUUCCAGGUAAAUAUACCAAAGGCUUUUCCAGUA